GAGAAGAACCAUGGGUGUUAAAGAGAGGACCCCCAAAGCAGAGGAAUGCAGAAAUCCAGAGAGCCAGAAACAUGGAGAUAAGCCAAGAAGACAAAGAUAAAGCUUCAUCAUCUACUUAACAGGAGUCUUCAUACCUAGCACUUACUUUCAC